rnacentral:rRNA from 1 species
GACGAACGCUGGCGGCGUGCCUAACACAUGCAAGUCGAACGGAGUUAAUUAUUUAGAUCCCUUCGGGGUGACGAAUUUUUAACUUAGUGGCGGACGGGUGAGUAACGCGUGAGAAACCUGCCUUACAGAGGGGGACAACAGUUGGAAACGACUGCUAAUACCGCAUGAAGCAUUCGGGUCGCAUGGCCUGAAUGCCAAAGAUUUUAUCGCUGAAAGAUGGCCUCGCGUCUGAUUAGCUAGUUGGUGAGGUAACGGCCCACCAAGGCGACGAUCAGUAGCCGGACUGAGAGGUUGACCGGCCACAUUGGGACUGAGAUACGGCCCAGACUCCUACGGGAGGCAGCAGUGGGGAAUAUUGGGCAAUAGACGCAAGUCUGACCCAGCAACGCCGCGUGAAGGAAGAAGGCUUUCGGGUUGUAAACUCUUUAAUAGGGAAGAGUAGAAGACGGUAACCUCUUGAAUAAGCCACGGCUAACUACGUG